AAACCAUAUUGGGGACAACGUCUGAGCAAUUCCCAUAAUCUCUCCCAAGAAUCAUGAAUGGUCUCAUCUUCCAUCUGAGCGAAGUGUGAAAUAUCUGCUAUGAUCUU